rnacentral:rRNA from 1 species
CAGCCGCCGCGGUAAUACGUAGGGUGCAAGCGUUAUCCGGAUUUAUUGGGUUUAAAGGGUCCGUAGGCGGAUCUGUAAGUCAGUGGUGAAAUCUCACAGCUUAACUGUGAAACUGCCAUUGAUACUGCAGGUCUUGAGUAAAUUUGAAGUGGCUGGAAUAAGUAGUGUAGCGGUGAAAUGCAUAGAUAUUACUUAGAACACCAAUUGCGAAGGCAGGUCACUAAGAUUUAACUGACGCUGAUGGACGAAAGCGUGGGGAGCGAACAGGAUUAGAUACCCCCGUAGUCCCUGUCUCUUAUAC